rnacentral:rRNA from 1 species
UACGUAGGGGGCGAGCGUUAUCCGGAUUCAUUGGGCGUAAAGCGCGCGUAGGCGGCCCGGCAGGCCGGGGGUCGAAGCGGGGGGCUCAACCCCCCGAAGCCCCCGGAACCUCCGCGGCUUGGGUCCGGUAGGGGAGGGUGGAACACCCGGUGUAGCGGUGGAAUGCGCAGAUAUCGGGUGGAACACCGGUGGCGAAGGCGGCCCUCUGGGCCGAGACCGACGCUGAGGCGCGAAAGCUGGGGGAGCGAACA